rnacentral:rRNA from 1 species
UACGUAGGGUGCAAGCGUUAAUCGGAAUUACUGGGCGUAAAGCGUGCGCAGGCGGUUUUGUAAGUCUGACGUGAAAUCCCCGGGCUUAACCUGGGAAUUGCGUUGGAGACUGCAAGGCUGGAGUCUGGCAGAGGGGGGUAGAAUUCCACGUGUAGCAGUGAAAUGCGUAGAGAUGUGGAGGAACACCAAUGGCGAAGGCAGCUCGCUGGGACGGUACUGACGCUGAGACGCGAAAGCGUGGGGAGCAAACAGG